rnacentral:rRNA from 1 species
GAUGAACGCUGGCGGCGUGCCUAAUACAUGCAAGUCGAGCGAACGGACGAGAAGCUUGCUUCUCUGAUGUUAGCGGCGGACGGGUGAGUAACACGUGGAUAACCUACCUAUAAGACUGGGAUAACUUCGGGAAACCGGAGCUAAUACCGGAUGAUAUUUUGAACCUCAUGGUUCAAAAGUGAAAGACGGUCUUGCUGUCACUUAUAGAUGGAUCCGCGCUGCAUUAGCUAGUUGGUAAGGUAACGGCUUACCAAGGCAACGAUGCAUAGCCGACCUGAGAGGGUGAUCGGCCACACUGGAACUGAGACACGGUCCAGACUCCCACGGGAGGCAGCAGUAGGGAAUCUUCCGCAAUGGGCGAAAGCCUGACGGAGCAACGCCGCGUGAGGGAUGAAGGUCUUCGGAUCGUAAAACUCUGUUAUUAGGGAAGAACAUAUGUGUAAGUAACUGUGCACAUCUUGACGGUACCUAAUCAGAAAGCCACGGCUAACUACGUG